AUGAAUUUGUUGCAAGAUCCAUCUAGGUUCCCAGCGACUCAUAGUAUACAUGAAGGGAUCAACCUACACAGUAGACAUGAAGAGCUCAACCUUCAAGAAACUGUUCCAUUAUCUGAAUUCGGAAAACCACCACCUAAAAGCAGGCGCAGGAAGCAUUUUCCUUGUGAAGUUGAAUUUCUGAAGUCAGUAGAUGGCCUUGCUGAACCCAAGAAUUACAUGAAUUUCACUUGGUUUUCUCUAGAUCAUGUUAAACAAGAAGGAAAAACAUCCGAUAGUGGUUUGUUUGAACCUCGAUUUGGAGGACAUCAGACUCUUGAGGAGAGAGAAAAGUCAUUUUAUGCCAAAAACCAAAUGGUUCAUUGUGGUUUUGUCAAGGGAUCACCAGGGUAUUCAAGCACUGGAUUUGAUUUAGAUGAAAAAGAUAAGGCAUACAUGUCAAAGUGUAAGAUUGCAGUUUCUUCUUGCAUUUUUGGAAGCUCCGAUUUUCUCCGGAGGCCUACAAGUAAACUGAUUAGUCAAUAUUCAAAGAACAAUGUUUGUUUUGUGAUGUUCUUGGAUGAACAAACACUAUCCAAACUUUCAUCAGAAGGGAACAGUCCCGAUGAAAGGGGGCAUAUUGGCCUAUGGAAAGCAGUAGUUGUGAAAAACUUGCCAUACAAAGACAUGCGGAGGACCGGCAAGGUGCCAAAAUUUUUAGCUCACCGCCUCUUCCCAAAUUCUAGGUAUUCAAUUUGGCUUGACAGCAAGAUGAGACUCAAUGCUGAUCCUAUGUUGAUCAUUGAAUAUUUUUUGUAGCGAAGGAAUGCUGAAUUUGCCAUUUCAAAUCAUUAUGAUCGCCACUGUGUCUGGGAUGAGGUACUCCAAAACAAACGCUUAAACAAGUACAACCACAUGGCAAUUGACGAACAGUUUAACUUUUACCAAUCUGAUGGCCUAACCAAGUUUGAUCCUUCAAACCCAGAUAAUCCUCUUCCAAGUUAUGUUCCCGAGGGUUCCUUGAUUAUAAGGGCACAUACAUCAAUGUCAAAUUUAUUUUCAUGCCUUUGGUUCAAUGAAGUUGAUCGAUUUACUUCUCGAGAUCAACUAAGCUUUGCUUAUACUUAUUUGAAAUUGAGGAGAAUGAAUCCGGAGAGACCAUUGUUCAAGUGUCAAGAAUGGCAAACAGAAUGACAGAAAAAGAAAGGUCAGAUGUUGAGUUCAAGGUUUUGUUGAUGGAGCGCAUUACGUUGGUUUUCAUCGCCAUCGUCACUGGUUCAAUAUGGUGGCCAUGUGCAGCACACAACGUGGCCACUUGCCCUAGCACUGAUGAUCCUCACACGUGGUCGUUUAUUUAUCUGGUGCUGUUUACCUACACCAUCAUGCCCGCGUUCUACGUGUUCCGGUGGUUCUAUACCGCGGUGGCCACCACUGAGAUGUCACCGUGGGUAGGGAGAAUUCUCUUCAUUCUGGAGAGGUUGCUGGUGAUGGUUAUGCCUGCUGCGGUUCCCCAGGGAUCCAUCUUUGUUAAUCCAACUCUCUUAAUGUAUUUCUUGUCUCUUCUUGUUACUGGCGCAUACUUCCUCUGCUGCCUCCAUCGAUUUUUAUUCUUUGUUGACAGUAAUAACUACUGUAGGUUCACACAAGUGAUGAUGAAUUCAAAGAAGUAGAGUGGGAGUGGGAGGAGGAGGAGGAGGAGGAGGAGGAGGAAGAAGAAGAGGAGGAAGAGGAAGAGGUUCACACAAGUGAUGAUGAAUUCAAAGAGGAAGAGGAAGAGGAAGAGGAAGAGGAAGCCGACUCUACGAUUUCGGAGUGGCUAAGUAAGAAGACGAAUAAAGAAUGUUCCAAGUGUGAGGCAAUGUUGGGUGAAUGGCACUUAGCAUUUGAGAAGAUGGAAAAAUUGGCUGCAAUGUUUAUGGAAGAUGCCAUGAUGGAAGCAAAGAAAAGGCAACAACAAUUGGAAGAAUUUUAUAAAAAAGAGAAAUCAAAAUUGGAUCAAGAAAUCCAAGCUUUGAACCAAGAAAAACAGGAAUUGCUCGAUAUAAUAGAAGAACUAACAAAGUCAGAAGAAGAAGCCAGAGAUUUGUACGAAAAAGAGAAAAAAGAGCGGGAGCAAGAAAAGCUUUCAUCAGCAAUAAAAGAAGCCGAAAAUUUUAGACAACAAUUGUUGGUUGAACAUUAUCGGGCACACAAUAGUGUUGCAUGGAAUGGUCAUUGUUAGUUAGUUAGAAUUAGUCCAAAACUAAACUAUUCUUUUAGAGAAAAUAUUGGAUUUGGUCACUCAAGUUAGUUAAACUUUUUAAUUGAUUCUGUGAUGAAAAUCACUUUAGGAAUUAACGUCAUUAAAAUUUGAAAAGUUUAGGAACUAAAUUGAGACAAUUAAAAUUUUAAAGAUUAAAUCGAGAUUCGAGUGUAAUGGAAUAUUUUCUUCUUUUUCUAUUUUUAAAUGCAACUAGAAUUUUAUAGUUUACUAAAUUUAUGCAUUAUGAUAUAUUUUAAUUUUCAAUAAAUUAUUAGAA